rnacentral:rRNA from 1 species
CCUACGGGAGGCAGCAGUGGGGAAUAUUGGGCAAUGGGCGCAAGCCUGACCCAGCAACGCCGCGUGAAGGAAGAAGGCUUUCGGGUUGUAAACUUCUUUUCUCAGGGACGAAGCAAGUGACGGUACCUGAGGAAUAAGCCACGGCUAACUACGUGCCAGCAGCCGCGGUAAUACGUAGGUGGCAAGCGUUAUCCGGAUUUACUGGGUGUAAAGGGCGUGUAGGCGGGAAAGCAAGUCAGAUGUGAAAACCAUGGGCUCAACCUGUGGCCUGCAUUUGAAACUGGUUUUCUUGAGUGCUGGAGAGGCAAUCGGAAUUCCGGGUGUAGCGGUGAAAUGCGUAGAUAUACGGAGGAACACCAGUGGCGAAGGCGGAUUGUUGGACAGUAACUGACGCUGAGGCGCGAAAGCGUGGGGAGCAAACAGGAUUAGAUACCCCAGUAGUC